CCUACGGGUGACAGCAGUAGGGAAUCUUUCACAAUGGGCGAAAGCCUGAUGGAGCAACGCCGCGUGCAGGAUGAAGGCCUUCGGGUUGUAAACUGCUUUUAGAAGCGAGAAAAAUGACGGUAACUUAUGAAUAAGGAUCGGCUAACUACGUGCCAGCAGCCGCGGUCAUACGUAGGAGCCGAGCAUUAUCCGGAUUGACUGGGUGUAAAGAGUUGCGUAGGUGGGAUAAUAAGUAGCUAGUGAAAUCUGGGGGUUCAACCAUUCAGACUAUUGGCUAAACUGUUAAGCUCGAGACCGUUAGAGGUAAGUGGAAUUUCUAGUGUAGGAGUGAAAUGCGUAGAUAUUAGGACGAACACCAAUAGCGUAGGCAGGUUACUGGGACGGAUCUGACACUAAGGCACGAAAGCGUAGGGAGCAAACGGGAUUAGAUACCCUUGUAGUC
rnacentral:rRNA from 1 species